UAGUAGGUACAUAUAUUUAUAACGAUACACGUUAGCUUACCAAAUUACAUAAUGUCACAUGUAAACUAUAGUUUCACAUCCCUAUCCCGACUUUUUUGUUAAAGUUCAUUAAGACAUUCCUUGACUGAACAUCACUAAAAGAGUUUUAUUUGAUACCGUAAGGUUUAUUUUGUUCCUAUUAAAAAUAAAAUAUAUUUAUGAUAGGUAAUGUAAUUUAUAAUUACUAGUUCGCGAGCUGCUGCAUCGCAGAUAAGUGAACUUUAUAUUUUAAUGUUUUUUUAAGUGUUUAACUCAAGCCAUCUCAGCUAUAAUACAAAUGUUAAAUUACAAAUCCUUUUUGUUGUAUGUACCUAUGCUUCGAUAUUUAAUAAAGAAAUUUGUUAGAC